AAACACCAAAGAUAACAUUUCCUUACAAAACUUGAGGUUGUAUUUACAACAAAAUGAAAACCAGACGUCGUUUAGGUCGUAUAAGACAGGACAAAGAUGGCGAGGCUUUUGAAACUGAACUGUUCUCAGAUUUAAAUAAAGAUGAAAAUCCAGAAAAAACUCCAAAACCAAAUCAUGAUGAGUGAGACAUUCACCAUUUUUCGGAAGUAAACACACAUGGGCACUAUGCAGAGGAAUCCAUGACGUGAAAUUUCGGGGCAUGCCUCUAUUUGACAUCCAUUUGGGACAGAGGCAGGUGUAAUCGUUCAACGUGAUGUGUGACAUGAUUCUGAUGAAGGGAACGAUGCAGGUCAAGGUGAGCUCAAUUGCGAUGAUGAGGCCCCGGAUGAUGUUGGUUUCCAUGGCAGCAAGAUGUCGGUCUUGGCGGAGCCGCGGUCUGCCAUUAGGCAGGUGGAUAGGGGGCAGUCUGUGAAGAAAGAACAGCGGAGGAAACUGGAUGCACAGUUCAAGGCACAAAAUGUGCAAAAAAACUGGAAGAACUUUCAAGUAAGAAAUUGCCAGAUGAUUUCUUGGCAACUUUGGAUGAGGCAGUUAUAUCAAAACCCAAAGUAAAAAAGGAGAAAAAAGGAAAAUGAAUAAACAGCAAGAAGAAGACAGAAAGGGACCCGAUGUUGGUGAACCGAGUCCAGUGAAGAACUCCAGAGUCACUUUCACAGAGGACUUCAUCUCUCUAACUGACCGCGUCAGUCGUGUAGAAGUGGCAGAGCUCAAGAAGUCUGACACAGACAGUCGCACACUGAGUCAGGCUGCAGCAGCAUUCCGUCAGAGCAGACUGUAUGGGUCUCACAUACCCAGAGAGUCAAACAAAGAUAGACUUGGGAAGGCAGAGAAGAGAAAGUUCAAUAGAAGCUGCAGAUACUGAAGAGCUACCAAAACUUGGGCCUUGUGGUGUUUUGGUGUUGGAGUUUAACUGAGUCGAGUUCUGGGAAAGCAGGCCUUAAUGCAUGUGCAUUAAGUGUCAUCCCAGAUUUACCUGUGCACAGGCUAAUCAGGGACGACACUAACUGCAGACUCUGGAUUUCGGUUGAGGAGACCUCCUUUAAACAAAAAAAUCCAUGCAAGUUUGCCAUAUUAGACUGUGCAGACUGCACAGGCUAAUCUGUGAUGACACUUUAAGUGCAUGCAUUAAGCCCAGUUUUCCCAGAGUGAGGCUUGUUUGGACAGCAGACAAUUUCAAGGGUGUGCCCCAACUAGUUGCCAGAAUAUCCCUCAGUAAAAGAACUGUUUAAGUUAUGAGUAAGAAAUGGGAAAAUACUUAUGUUGUUGUUUGUUCUUUGAAGUAGCAAACUGUAUGGAACUCAUUUUUCUGAAAUUUUGAUAAUGAAAGAUACUGGCAAAUAUUAGAUGAACAACACAUCAAUAUGCUAAGAUUAUGGUGAAUAGGUAUAAAACAUACAUUUGGAACGUAUAAUUGUACUUACAUUUACAAGGAAAAAUUAUACUGAUGUGUCAGUCAUCAAAAUUAGCAGAAAGACUCUGCCUGUCCAUUUUCUGAUAUUAUUAUUUAAAACCUACAAAAUGUAAGACGGCAAUAUGAACUGAAGAUACUGAGCAAACUUGAUACAAAAUGUACACGUAUUGCUUGCAAAUUCAUAAAACGCUUUAAUUAAUCAAUGAUUAAAUUGUAUGAUACCUUCUAAAGUCUUUGUUAAAAAUCCUGCAUCUCUUUUUAUGCUCCCCUAAAAAAAAUUUGGGGAGCAUAUAGUCGCCGCUUCGUCCGUCCGUGCGUGUGUCCGUCCGUGCACAAUUUUUGUCCGGGCUAUUUCUCAGCAAUUAAUUACUGAAAUUCAAUAAACGUUAUGGGAAGCUUCACUACCAAGAGUAGAUGUGCAUAUUAUCAGCCGGUUCUGGUCGGAUGAUUUUUCACAGAGUUAUGACCCUUUGAAAUUUUCCAUUAACUGUACAUAUAGUGCAAGUCUUGUCCGGGCUAUUUCUCUGCAACUAAUGACCGGAAUUCAAUGAAACUUUAUGGGAAGCUUCACUACCUAGAGGAGAUGUGCAUAUCAUCAGCCGGUUCUGGUCGUAUGAUUUUUUACAGAGUUAUGGCCCUUUGAAAUUUUCCAUUAACUGUACAUAUAGUGCAAUUCUUGUCCGGGCGAUUUCUCAGCAACUAAUGACUGGAAUUCAAUGAAACUUUAUGGGAAGCUUCACUACCAAGAGGAGAUGUGCAUAUUAUCAGCUGGUUCUCGUCGAUUGAUUUUUCACAGAGUAAUGGCCCUUUGAAAUUUUCCAUUGUACAUAUAGUGCAAUUCUUGUCCGAGCUAUUUCUCGGCAACUUAUUACGGGAAUUCAAUGAAACUAUGGGAAGCUUCACUUCCAACAGGAGAUGUGCAUAUUAUCAGCCGGUUAUGGUCGGAUGAUUUUUCACAGAGUUAUGGCCCUUUGAAAUUUUCUAUAAACUGUACAUAUAGUGCAAUUCUUGUCCGGGCUAUUUCUCCCCAACUACUGACUGGAAUUCAAUGAAGCUUUAUGGGAAGCUUAACUACCUUGAGGAGAUGCGCAUGUUAUUUGUGGGUUCUGGUUAGAUGAUUUAUUGUGAGAGUUAUGAACCAUUUGAAUUUAACCAUCCAUCGUAUUAUUUUGUCCAAAGUUAUGCCCCUCAAAACGUUUCCUUUUAUCUGAAUAUAUAGUGCAAUAUUUUGACAAAAAAAAACCUUUGGGGAGCAUCACCCGUCUCCGACGGUUUCUUGUUUAAAGUUUGUCCAAGAAAGCAACAUAACAGUAAGAUAUAAUUGGGUCGAGUUAUGCCUUACUACAUGUAAGUUCUCUGGAAUAAUGAGAUAAAAGUGUUUUAAAAGAGCUUUACAUGAAUUACAUUAUUUAGUUCACAGGAAGUCUAAUUCCUUUGUAAAAAAUGAAUAUUAAAAUGAAUUAACUCCAGAAUAUAUGUUCACAAAUAACAUUUACUUUUUUUAAUUUGGUACAAACAUAUAUUUUCUGGUUCUAUAAUGGGAGAACAUAAUCAAUUGAUAAUCUUUUGUUAGUUUUCCUUUACAUUUUCCUUUAAAUCUUUUAGUAAAGUACAUGAAUAUUGGAAUUUAGAUUUUGAAGUGAUUUUUAGCUCAUCUAUUUUUUGAAAAAAAAUUAUGAGCUAUUGUCAUCACCUUGGCGUCGGCGUUGGCGUUGGCGUUGGCGUUGGCGUUGGCGUCGGCGUCCGGUUAAGUUUUGCGUUUAGGUCCACUUUUCUCAGAAAGUAUCAAUGCUAUUGCAUUCAAACUUGGUACACUUACUUACUAUCAUGAGGGGACUAGGCAGGCAAAGUUAGAUAACUCUGGCGUGCAUUUUGACAGAAUUAUGUGCCCUUUUUGUACUUAAAAAAUUGCAAAUUUUGGUUAAGUUUUGCGUUUAGUUCCACUUUUCUCAGUAAGUAUCAAUGCUAUUGCAUUCAAACUUGGUACACUUACUUACUAUCAUGAGGGGACUGGGCAGGCAAAGUUAGAUAACUCUGGCAUGCAUUUUGACAGAAUUAUGUGCCCUUUUUAUACUUAGAAAAUUGACAAUUUUGGUUAAGUUUUGUGUUUAGGUCCAUUUUAUUCCUUAAGCAUCAAAGCUAUUGCUUUCAUACUUGCAACACUUACUAACUAUCAUAAGGGGACUGUGCAGGCAAAGUAAUGUAACUCUGACUGGCAUUUUGACAGAAUUAUGUGCCCUUUUUAUACUUAGAAAAUUGAAAAUUUGAUUAAGUUUUGUGUUUAGGUCCACUUUAUUCCUACAGUAUCAAAGCUAUUGCUUUCAUACUUGCAAGAUUUAUGAACUAUCAUAAGGGGACGGUGCAGGCAAAGUUAUGUAACUCUGACUGGCAUUUGGACGGAAUUAUGGGCCCUUUAUACUUAGAAAAUUGAAAAUUUGGUUAAGAUUUAUGUUUUGGUCACUUUACCCCUAAAGUAUCAUAGAUAUUGCUUUCAUACUUGGAACACUCACAAACUAUCAUAAGGGUACAGUAAAAGGACAAGUUGCAUAACUCUGGUUGUCAUUGUUACGGAAUUAUGGCCCUUUUUUGACUUAGUAACUUUUAAUAUAUGGUUAAAUUUUGUGUUUCGAUCCACUCGAAGUAUCAAGGCUAUUGCUUUCAAACUUCAAAUACUUACAUGCUAUCAUGAGGUUACUGUACCUGGCAACUUGAAUUUUACUUUGACCUUUGAAUGACCU